rnacentral:rRNA from 1 species
GAUAAACGCUGGCGGCGCACAUAAGACAUGCAAGUCGAACGGACUUAACCGAAAGUUUACUUUUGGAGCGGUUAGUGGCGGACUGGUGAGUAACACGUAAGCAACCUGCCUAUCAGAGGGGAACAACAGUUAGAAAUGACUGCUAAUACCGCAUAUGCCUAAGUACCACAUGGUAUAAUAGGGAAAGAAGCAAUUCGCUGAUAGAUGGGCUUGCGUCUGAUUAGAUAGUUGGUGGGGUAACGGCCUACCAAGUCGACGAUCAGUAGCCGGACUGAGAGGUUGAACGGCCACAUUGGGACUGAGAUACGGCCCAGACUCCUACGGGAGGCAGCAGUCGGGAAUAUUGCGCAAUGGAGGAAACUCUGACGCAGUGACGCCGCGUGCAGGAAGAAGGUUUUCGGAUUGUAAACUGCUUUAGACAGGGAAGAAACAAGACAGUACCUGUAGAAUAAGCUCCGGCUAACUACGUG